CCCUUAGAUGUUCUGGGCCGCACGCGCGCUACACUGACGAAGUCAGCGAGCAUGUCCUACGCCGACAGGUGCGGGGAAUCUUGUCAAACUUCGUCGUGAUGGGGAUUGAUUAUUGAAAUUCUUGAUCAUCAACGAGGAAUUCCUAGUAAGCGCAAGUCAGCAGCUUGCGUUGAUUACGUCCCUGCCCUUUGUACACACCGCCCGUCGCUACUACCGAUUGAAUGGUUUAGUGAGAUCUUCGGAUUGGCGCCACUGCGGCUCAGCAAUGGGCUCGGUGGAUGCCGAAAAGUUGAUCAAACUUGAUCAUCUAGAGGAAGUAAAAGUCGUAACA
rnacentral:rRNA from 1 species